UACAGAGGUCCCAAGCGUUGUUCGGAUUCACUGGGCGUAAAGGGCGCGUAGGUGGUGAGGUAAGUCGGAUGUGAAAGCUCCGAGCUCAACUCGGAAAUGGCAUUGGAAACUGCCUUGCUAGAGGGUUUGAGGGGGGACUGGAAUACUUGGUGUAGCGGUGAAAUGCGUAGAUAUCAAGUGGAACACCAGUGGCGAAGGCGAGUCCCUGGAAAAAUCCUGACGCUGAGGCGCGAAAGCUAGGGGAGCAAACAGG
rnacentral:rRNA from 1 species